rnacentral:rRNA from 1 species
AUUGAACGCUGGCGGCAGGCCUAACACAUGCAAGUCGAGCGGCAGCGACUUAACUGAACCUUCGGGGAACGUUAAGGGCGGCGAGCGGCGGACGGGUGAGUAAUGCCUGGGAAUAUGCCCUGAUGUGGGGGAUAACUAUUGGAAACGAUAGCUAAUACCGCAUAAUCUCUUCGGAGCAAAGAGGGGGACCUUCGGGCCUCUCGCGCCAGGAUUAGCCCAGGUGGGAUUAGCUUGUUGGUGAGGUAAUGGCUCACCAAGGCAACGAUCCCUAGCUGGUCUGAGAGGAUGAUCAGCCACACUGGAACUGAGACACGGUCCAGACUCCUACGGGAGGCAGCAGUGGGGAAUAUUGCACAAUGGGGGAAACCCUGAUGCAGCCAUGCCGCGUGUGUGAAGAAGGCCUUCGGGUUGUAAAGCACUUUCAGUAGGGAGGAAGGUAGUGUAGUUAACACCUGCACUAUUUGACGUUACCUACAGAAGAAGCACCGGCUAACUCCGUGCCAGCAGCCGCGGUAAUACGGAGGGUGCGAGCGUUAAUCGGAAUUACUGGGCGUAAAGCGCAUGCAGGCGGCCUGUUAAGUCAGAUGUGAAAGCCCGGGGCUUAACCUCGGAAUUGCAUUUGAAACUGGCAGGCUAGAGUCUUGUAGAGGGGGGUAGAAUUUCAGGUGUAGCGGUGAAAUGCGUAGAGAUCUGAAGGAAUACCAGUGGCGAAGGCGGCCCCCUGGACAAAGACUGACGCUCAAUGCGAAAGCGUGGGGAGCAAACAGG